UGAUGGGUUGGGGGAGCUGAGCCCGGCUGAGAGGGAAGCAGUGGCUGCUGGGAGCCACAGCGCUGGCACAACAGGCAACAAUCAACACAGUCCCUGCACAACAAUCAAUCACAAGUGUCAGGCCUUUAAACAGUCACAGUCAUUUGGUGGUGUUCCCCAGAAAUGAGUACACCCUUGUAAAAUGUAGCUAAGAUCAUGUUCCCUAAACACCUCGCAGCACAAUAUGUUUUAACCAAUGAGAUUUCUCUCCCAUGAUUUAUCACGCAGUUUGCUCACAACCCGAAUUCCUUUGGCCAAGUUACGCUUCCAUGGACUCAACUGUCACCCUCGGAGAUUGAAGUUGGUACUUAUAAUACAAGCAGAACCCUGUCACCCGCCCUCCCAGCCAAUUAACCUGUGAUUAUGCCGAGAGUGAGGCCUGAUGAAUCAGAGCAGGGAGGCAGGGUUCUGCAUGACAGAGAAGGCCUGGGGUGAGCCGCUGUCUGUCUGUCUGUCUGUCCGCCCGUCUGUCUGGGCGCUCUCUAGUUCCUGUGUCCCUAUGUCCUUGCUGUCGACGAGUGCCCUGUAGACUCAACUCCAGACCUAAUUAGAUGUUGAGAUGUACUUUAUUCAUCCACAACAGGAAAAUAAUAAUUAUAAAUAGAUAACAUUUUAAAAUGAGAAGAUACCCUUCCCUAGAAAAACAUAUGUAAUGUAUGGUCAGUAUGAUAGGAGGUUAGUGCUCAUGAUUCCUUAUGAGGUUAAUGUCAUAGUUCUUGAAGGCUAUUGAUUUGAUUUGUCAGUCAUUAAUUGCCUUUUAUAGCAUUAUUAAUUGAGGUCAUUUUGUCAAAAUAGAAAAAAUAUUUACAUUCAACAAAAUCUAACUAUAACUAAAUUACUUAAUUAUCUAAUAUACAAUAUACCUAUGAGCAGUAUUAAAGUUGUAAGAUCUUUUUUUUUUAAGGAUUUAACACUGUUGCUAUCGAUGGCCCUUUUAUCCACACUUAUGUCAUUUAAGCCUCUCAUGUUUCCCAUUUCGUCACAGCAUAGGGACCGAUAUCGAACCUGCACGUGAAUUCAGUUGUUAAUCGUUUAACUACCUUUACACAUGUUAAGUGAUUUUGGAUUUCCUUUUAUCUACCGGCCAUUUUUUUUAAUCACUGCAUUUUAUUGUGUUUAAUUAGUUCGAAUCAUUGAGUUUCAGUUUACCACCAUGGAUUUAGACCAGUUUUGCGGAUGAGUCUCUGCAUCUGUGGUCUAGUUUUAAUUGUUGUAAUUAAAAGCCUUUAGUUACAUUAAACAUUCUGACGUUCUCAUUUUGUUUCGUUAAGGACUCGUGUUCCUGUCUGGUGUCCACCACCAUCC
rnacentral:lncRNA from 1 species